rnacentral:rRNA from 1 species
UGAGGAAUAUUGGUCAAUGGUCGGGAGACUGAACCAGCCAAGCCGCGUGAGGGAUGAAGGUACAGAGUAUCGUAAACCUCUUUUGUCAGGGAACAAAAGGCGCCACGCGUGGCGCUCCGAGUGUACCUGAAGAAAAAGCAUCGGCUAACUCCGUGCCAGCAGCCGCGGUAAUACGGAGGAUGCGAGCGUUAUCCGGAUUUAUUGGGUUUAAAGGGUGCGUAGGCGGCGAGUUAAGUCAGCGGUAAAAGCCCGGGGCUCAACCCCGGCCCGCCGUUAAACUGGCUUGCUUGAGUUGGAGAGAAGUAGGCGGAAUGCGCGGUGUAGCGGUGAAAUGCUUAGAUAUCGCGCAGAACUCCGAUUGCGAAGGCAGCCUACCGGUUCCAGACUGACGCUGAGGCACGAAAGCGUGGGUAUCGAACAGGAUUAGAUACC